rnacentral:rRNA from 1 species
GAGUUUGAUCAUGGCUCAGAUUGAACGCUGGCGGCAGGCCUAACACAUGCAAGUCGAACGGUAACAGGAAGAAGCUUGCUUCUUUGCUGACGAGUGGCGGACGGGUGAGUAAUGUCUGGGAAACUGCCUGAUGGAGGGGGAUAACUACUGGAAACGGUAGCUAAUACCGCAUAACGUCGCAAGACCAAAGAGGGGGACCUUCGGGCCUCUUGCCAUCGGAUGUGCCCAGAUGGGAUUAGCUAGUAGGUGGGGUAACGGCUCACCUAGGCGACGAUCCCUAGCUGGUCUGAGAGGAUGACCAGCCACACUGGAACUGAGACACGGUCCAGACUCCUACGGGAGGCAGCAGUGGGGAAUAUUGCACAAUGGGCGCAAGCCUGAUGCAGCCAUGCCGCGUGUAUGAAGAAGGCCUUCGGGUUGUAAAGUACUUUCAGCGGGGAGGAAGGGAGUAAAGUUAAUACCUUUGCUCAUUGACGUUACCCGCAGAAGAAGCACCGGCUAACUCCGUGCCAGCAGCCGCGGUAAUACGGAGGGUGCAAGCGUUAAUCGGAAUUACUGGGCGUAAAGCGCACGCAGGCGGUUUGUUAAGUCAGAUGUGAAAUCCCCGGGCUCAACCUGGGAACUGCAUCUGAUACUGGCAAGCUUGUGUCUCGUAGAGGGGGGUAGAAUUCCAGGUGUAGCGGUGAAAUGCGUAGAGAUCUGGAGGAAUACCGGUGGCGAAGGCGGCCCCCUGGACGAAGACUGACGCUCAGGUGCGAAAGCGUGGGGAGCAAACAGGAUUAGAUACCCUGGUAGUCCACGCCGUAAACGAUGUCGACUUGGAGGUUGUGCCCUUGAGGCGUGGCUUCCGGAGCUAACGCGUUAAGUCGACCGCCUGGGGAGUACGGCCGCAAGGUUAAAACUCAAAUGAAUUGACGGGGGCCCGCACAAGCGGUGGAGCAUGUGGUUUAAUUCGAUGCAACGCGAAGAACCUUACCUGGUCUUGACAUCCACGGAAGUUUUCAGAGAUGAGAAUGUGCCUUCGGGAACCGUGAGACAGGUGCUGCAUGGCUGUCGUCAGCUCGUGUUGUGAAAUGUUGGGUUAAGUCCCGCAACGAGCGCAACCCUUAUCCUUUGUUGCCAGCGGUCCGGCCGGGAACUCAAAGGAGACUGCCAGUGAUAAACUGGAGGAAGGUGGGGAUGACGUCAAGUCAUCAUGCCCCUUACGACCAGGGCUACACACGUGCUACAAUGGCGCAUACAAAGAGAAGCGACCUCGCGAGAGCAAGCGGACCUCAUAAAGUGCGUCGUAGUCCGGAUUGGAGUCUGCAACUCGACUCCAUGAAGUCGGAAUCGCUAGUAAUCGUGGAACAGAAUGCCACGGUGAAUACGUUCCCGGGCCUUGUACACACCGCCCGUCACACCAUGGGAGUGGGUUGCAAAAGAAGUAGGUAGCUUAACCCUCGGGAGGGCGCUUACCACUUUGUGAUUCAUGACUGGGGUGAAGUCGAAACAAGGUA